rnacentral:rRNA from 1 species
CAGCAGCCGCGGUAAUACGGAGGGGGCUAGCGUUGUUCGGAAUUACUGGGCGUAAAGCGUGCGUAGGCGGCUUCUUAAGUCGGAUGUGAAAUCCCUGAGCUUAACUUAGGAAUUGCAUUCGAUACUGGGAAGCUAGAGUAUGGGAGAGGAUGGUAGAAUUCCAGGUGUAGCGGUGAAAUGCGUAGAGAUCUGGAGGAAUACCGAUGGCGAAGGCAGCCAUCUGGCCUAAUACUGACGCUGAGGUACGAAAGCAUGGGGAGCAAACAGGAUUAGAUACCCCAGUAGUCCCUGUCUCUUAUAC